GAUGAACGCCGGCGGUGUGCCUAAUACAUGCAAGUCGUACGCACUGGCCCAACUGAUUGAUGGUGCUUGCACCUGAUUGACGAUGGAUCACCAGUGAGUGGCGGACGGGUGAGUAACACGUAGGUAACCUGCCCCGGGAGCGGGGGAGUAACAUUUGGAAACAGAUGCUAAUACCGCAUAACAACAAAAGACCACAUGGCUUUUGUUUGAAAGAUGGCUUUGGCUAUCACUCUGGGAUGGACCUGCGGUGCAUUAGCUAGUUGGUAAGGUAACGGCUUACCAAGGCGAUGAUGCAUAGCCGAGUUGAGAGACUGAUCGGCCACAAUGGAACUGAGACACGGUCCAU
rnacentral:rRNA from 1 species